UACAGACAACGCUGUUCCAUACACCUCCCUAAGCUUUAGGAGAAAAAGCUGAUUCAGCUGCACAAAGCCAAUACCCCUGGCAGAAGGUUUGUACCCAGCUGUCACACCUCUUCUCCCACCUGGUCUACACUGGCAGAUUAGGCGCUGUGAUAAGCGGAUUGCGGCUAAUCACUGUGUGUCCUUCUCACUCUGUGUAAUUACAUUACACCUUUACCGGACUAUUGUCAAGCAAGUAAUACAGAAGUUCACUAAAGGUAUCGACUCACUUGCCUUUUUUGAACAUCUGGGGGACUGAAAAUAAUAUAUUGAUGAACGUAUGAAGCAGGAAAGGCCAUUUUACAAAGAUACAGCUGGCAGUGGAUGGCAUGCGGCCGCUGCACAUUCAUCUCACAGUCUCAUACAGCAAAUCAUCAGUAGUCCACACACAUCCACUGUAAACAAGCGUGAACUAGCCUACCACGGCAACAAGGAAAACCCUGCAGAGAUUUUAACCUAGUGGCACAACAGAUCUGCUUGGAACAA